UCUGGCAAUAGCAUAGCAAAAUGGCAGAAGAAAAGAAGGGAGAUAGUAGCGGUAGUUCCUCAGCUUUAAAAAAUUUCCUGGCUGGUGGAGUUGGUGGAGUAUGUCUUGUAGCUGCAGGCCAUCCUUUGGACACUAUCAAGGUUCGUUUCCAUUGGAGAAUCACGAGAAUAUUCGCAUAUUUGUUUUGACAUAUUUUCAAUAUGCGGGCCAUUGUUGACGUAAAUAAAUCC